rnacentral:rRNA from 1 species
GACAGAGGGUGCAAACGUUGUUCGGAAUUACUGGGCGUAAAGCGUGCGCAGGCGGUUUGCUAAGGCCGAUGUGAAAUCCCCGGGCUUAACCUGGGAACUGCAUUGGUGACUGGCAAGCUAGAGUGUGGCAGAGGGGGGUAGAAUUCCACGUGUAGCAGUGAAAUGCGUAGAGAUGUGGAGGAAUACCGAUGGCGAAGGCAGCCCCCUGGGCUAACACUGACGCUCAUGCACGAAAGCGUGGGGAGCAAACAGG